rnacentral:rRNA from 1 species
GACGAACGCUGGCGGCGUGCUUAACACAUGCAAGUCGAACGGAAAGGCCCUGCUUUUGUGGGGUGCUCGAGUGGCGAACGGGUGAGUAACACGUGAGUAACCUGCCCUUGACUUUGGGAUAACUUCAGGAAACUGGGGCUAAUACCGGAUAGGAGCUCCUGCUGCAUGGUGGGGGUUGGAAAGUUUCGGCGGUUGGGGAUGGACUCGCGGCUUAUCAGCUUGUUGGUGGGGUAGUGGCUUACCAAGGCUUUGACGGGUAGCCGGCCUGAGAGGGUGACCGGCCACAUGGGGAUGGGGUUCGGGCCAGGACUCCACCGGGAGGAAGAGGUGGGGAAUAUGGCCCAAUGGGCGGAGCCUGAUGCAGCAACGCCGCGUGCGGGAUGACGGCCUUCGGGUUGUAAACCGCUUUCGCUCAUGACGAAGCUUUGUGUGACGGUAGUGGGUAAAGAAGCACCGGCUAACUACGUG